rnacentral:rRNA from 1 species
GACGAACGCUGGCGGCGUGCUUAACACAUGCAAGUCGUACGGUAAGGCCCUUUCGGGGGUACACGAGUGGCGAACGGGUGAGUAACACGUGAGUAACCUGCCCACAACUUUGGGAUAACGCUAGGAAACUGGUGCUGAUACUGGAUAUGUGCUCCUGCUGCAUGGUGGGGGUUGGAAAGCUCCGGCGGUUGUGGAUGGACUCGCGGCCUAUCAGCUUGUUGGUGGGGUAGUGGCCUACCAAGGCGGCGACGGGUAGCCGGCCUGAGAGGGUGACCGGCCACAUUGGGACUGAGAUACGGCCCAGACUCCUACGGGAGGCAGCAGUGGGGAAUAUUGCACAAUGGGCGCAAGCCUGAUGCAGCAACGCCGCGUGCGGGAUGACGGCCUUCGGGUUGUAAACCGCUUUCAGCAGGGACGAAGCUUUUUGUGACGGUACCUGAAGAAGAAGCACCGGCGAACUACGU